UACAGAGGUGGCAAGCGUUGUUCGGAAUUACUGGGCGUAAAGGGCGCGUAGGCGGUCUUGUAAGUUCUGUGUGAAAUCCCUCGGCUCAACUGAGGAACUGCACGGAAAACUGCGAGGCUUGAGUUCGGGAGAGGGAAGCGGAAUUCCGGGUGUAGCGGUGAAAUGCGUAGAUAUCGGAAGGAACACCAGUGGCGAAAGCGGCUUCCUGGUCCAGCACCGACGUUCAGGCACGAAAGCGUGGGGAGCAAACAGG
rnacentral:rRNA from 1 species